rnacentral:rRNA from 1 species
AACGAACGCUGGCGGCAGGCCUAACACAUGCAAGUCGAACGCCGUAGCAAUACGGAGUGGCAGACGGGUGAGUAACACGUGGGAACGUACCCUUGGUUCGGGAUAACUCAGGGAAACUUGAGCUAAUACCGGGAUACGUCCGAGAGGAGAAAGNUUUAUUGCCGAGGGAUCGGCCCGNGUCUGAUUAGGCUUGUUGGUGAGGUAACGGCUCACCAAGGCGACGAUCAGUAGCUGGUC